GAUGAACGCUGGCGGCGUGCCUAAUACAUGCAAGUCGAGCGAACAGACGAGGAGCUUGCUCCCCUGACGUUAGCGGCGGACGGGUGAGUAACACGUGAAUAACCUACCUAUAAGACUGGGAUAACUUCGGGAAACCGGAGCUAAUACCGGAUAAUAUAUUGAACCGCAUGGUUCAAUAGUGAAAGACGGUUUUGCUGUCACUUAUAGAUGGAUCCGCGCCGCAUUAGCUAGUUGGUAAGGUAACGGCUUACCAAGGCGACGAUGCGUAGCCGACCUGAGAGGGUGAUCGGCCACACUGGAACUGAGACACGGUCCAGACUCCUACGGGAGGCAGCAGUAGGGAAUCUUCCGCAAUGGGCGAAAGCCUGACGGAGCAACGCCGCGUGAGUGAUGAAGGUCUUCGGAUCGUAAAACUCUGUUAUUAGGGAAGAACAAAUGUGUAAGUAACUAUGCACGUCUUGACGGUACCUAAUCAGAAAGCCACGGCUAACUACGUG
rnacentral:rRNA from 1 species